UGCCCUUCUUCUCACAUGACCACUAGUCACCAUAAUCUUUAUAAUCAGUGUUGGAUUACAACAAUAUACUGACCCUGAUAGAAGGUAGUGAGGAUGACUUUUGAUACAAAACGAUCAUUCGCUGGGUUGAAAUUGUCAGAAUGGUGCUUCUGUGGUGCUUUCAAGUGUCUCCCAGUGUCCGAUUAUCAAAUAAAGCUUUCCAUAUGUAUCAUACUUAGAACAAUAAAAGUUUCUUAAAACAACUUCUCUAAAGGGAGGUCCCAUCUGGGUUUGUUCAGAGGAGCAGACGAUUCACACCUCAGCUCAUACACGUGACAGCCAUAAGCGUCUGGUAGCACAUUUCCCAUGAACCACAGCACAGAAGCUAAACCCACGCUGGCUUUAAUGUUUUCAUUUCCCUGGCAACAGACAUCUGGGGCAACUGAUUAAUGUUUCCAAUUCAAGAUAACAUGAAAUAUUUGGGCAAAAUACCCAUAUGUCUGUCCUGGUCUCCUAUGAUUGUCACUGUAAAUGGGAAACAGAGUUAAAAUGCCCUUUGAGACUUUGUUAUGGAUAAAUGAAAGCGGGGAAGGAAAAAAAUGUAUCAGCUGAAGCUACUCAGAAAGUUAUCAAUUCAGCCUUAUUUUCUUGUGUCUGACAUACUCCACUGGAUAUCUAUACAAAAAAGUCCAGACAUGGACCAAAUCUUUUCACCUAAAAUGAAAAAAAAAAAAAGAAUAGUAGCUAUUUCCUUUCCCAAUAAGUCAAACUGCUGAUUUUAGAAGUUUGGCAAUGUUUCAUGAAUGCCUUUCUGCCCAAACUGCUUUCUGCUGCAAAUUGAAAUACCUGCAGAGACGGUGGAUAUUAAGAACGCAGCCGUGACAAGCCGCAAUAUAAUUUAAUAUGCUUUACAAUGUGUGCACUGCACAUUGCCUACCCAGCUCCCUUACCGUGUCCUGCUGGAAUUUAUGUCUGAACAGCAACCAGACAUCUUCCCUGCAUUUUUGCACUCCUUCUCCAGUUUCUGGGUUGCAUCAGUUGCAUUGCAGUAGCGUUUAAAGGAGAACAGUAAUGGCGUGAAUAAUGUUGUAUUUGGUUUGAAGUAGCGGGAUUUAUAGUAUUCUUGUCAGUAAAAGUUUUUCAUUGUAAUAAUGAGGUGCUUUCGGU
ensembl:lncRNA